rnacentral:snRNA from 1 species
AUACUCUGGUUUCUUUUCAGAUUGUAUAAAUCUUUCGCCCUUUUACUAA